GGCUUAGCUUGGGCUCAGAGGCCUGACACUACCCACUUGUUCCCAAUUAACAGGGGAGACCUACCCACAGGCACUGUCACACAAGCAUGACAAGUGUGCUGGGGGUGGUGGUUGCCAGAGGAAGGGCAGUUGCCUCUGCCUGGUGCAAUCACAGAGGGUUCCAGAGAGGAGGUGCCCUUCUAGCACCUGAGCUGAGACCCCAGAGGAAAACUAUCAUGGUGCCCUGCGCAAACCCCAAGCCUCAGAUUGGGUGGGGUGGUAGGCAGAAGAAUGCUCCCGGCAAAACUAUCCCCAGCCUAAUCCCUAGAACCCAUGAAAAGGUGUCCUUACAUGAUCACAGGACUUGCAGAUGUGAAGAAAGUUAAGGCUUUGAAAUGAGGAGAUUAUGUGGCAUUAUCCAGAUGGGCCCAACCUAACCCAUGAGUCCUUAGAAGUGGAGGAGGUGGCAGAGUGGGUUAGAAAUGCAAUACAAGAAGGGUGACAGAGCCCCAAAGCUGGCUUUGAAGAUGGAGGAAAGGGCCAUGAGCCAAGGAAUGCAGGCAGCCUCUAGAAGUUGGAAAAGGCAAGGAAGUGGGUUCUCCCCUUGAUAUGGACUGGCUAUGUCCCCAUCCAAAUCUCAUCUUGAAUUGUAGCUCCCAUAAUCCCCGCAUGUCGUGGGAAGGACCCAGUGGGAGGUAAUUGAAUCAUGGGGGUGGGCCUUUCCCAUGCUGUUCUCAUGGUAGUGAAUAAGUCUCACAAGAUCUGAUGGUUUUAUAAAUGGGAGUUCCCCUGUACAAGUUCUCUUGCCUGUUGCCAUGUAAGACAUCCCUUUGCUCUUCCUUUGCCUUCCACCAUAAUUGUGAGGCCUCCCCAGCCAUAUGGAACUGCGAGUCCAUUAAACCUCUUUUUCUUUAUAAAUUACCCAGUCUCGGGUAUGUCUUUAUAAGCAGCAUGAGAAUAGACUAAUAUACCCCUAGAGCCUUCAGAAGGAGUCAGACCUGCCAGCACCUUGGUUUUAGGCCAGUGAGACUUGUGUCAAACUUCUGACCCUCCAGAACUGUAAGAUAAUACAGUGUGGGGUUCUAAGCCACUAAGUUUGUGGUAAUAUGUAUAGCAGCAACAGAAAGCUAGCUCAGGUGAGGUAUACACUCUGGUCCCCCACAAGGGGACAGGCUCAGGCAGGGGUCUGAGGAAGUGACACAGCACAAGGCUCCCCCAGGGAGCGGGGAGCCCAGCCUGCCAUGCUGCAGAAUUUCUGGGGAAUAACAAGGUCAUAAGGGUUGAGGCACAGGGAAGCCGUGGAAACAGCUGGGGAGCCUCAGGUACUCUGAGCUGCAGUUACUGGUCUGGGACUGGGAUGUCAGCAAAGGGAUCCCAGGGUGACAGUGAUGCUGGGCUAUCUGAGCCAGGAGGGACUCAUGUCAUUACCAAAUCCUGGCAUUGCUGAUGAAAAACUUGAAGGAGAAAGGAGACACCUCCAGGGUCCCAGCAGAGGCCAGAGCCAGGAAGAGAACCAAAGUCUUCUAGAGUCCAGAUUGGAAAUUAGGGAUCUGCACGGGAAUGCUGCAGCCCUCACGGGAGGCUCCCCACUUUACAGCCUGACUCUCUGGACACAGUUCUCUGCCUAAGCACAGAUCUCAGACCACAAAAGAACUGUGUCCUGCACUCGUACCUUCUAAAGACAUGGCUCAGAGACUCCUGCCAGGCACCCCACAAUGGGCCACCCCCAUCCCAACGAAGCCUCCUGCAGCUGUCCAGAGCUGUCGUCCCAGGGCAAAGGUCACCAGCUAAGCUGUUACUCAUUCCCAGGUCGGGCCGGAGAGGCUUAUUCCGUACAAGGAUUCAUUUCCACCCUUCAGCCAGGAGGGAGUCAGCAGGCCAGGUGGGGACAUGAGGAUCAGGCCAUCUGGACAGGCAGAGCUCCGAGGUGAGCUGUGUGCUGCAAAGGGAGGGAAUGCACACAUCUCAGAGCCCGGCCAUCCAGCCUCCUAAAGGCAUC
rnacentral:lncRNA from 1 species